AACCUAAUUCAUUUUCUCCCAGCCGAUGUUCUCUCGUCUCUCUAUCUCAUGCUCUGUAACUCCAUCCACACAAAUAAAACAGGAUGGAUAGAUGUUGAAGGAGAUGAAUUUUAAUGGAUUCUUUCCACUAACAGUUUGGUGUGUUGUUGACGUGAUUGAAGAUGGAAGUAAUCGUGUGAUUAAUUUUUUGAAGACAGCAACUGAAGAUGGGAGAUGGAAAGAGUGAAGAAGAAUGGGCUUAUGAAUGGAUUUUGUGGUUAAGAAUGGCUUUGAUGGAGUUGUUGUUAAGAAUGAUUUGGUGGUGCUGAUUUGUUGUUGGUGGUGGUGGUGCUUGCUGGUGGUGAGGAUGGGUAUUUCAAAUUACAGAUGGCUGAAGUAAUGGAGAAGAUGGUAGUGAUUAUGUGGAUUUGAAGGAGCUGUUGUUGAUUCUUGAACUGGUGAUGUUGUAGUUGGUUGAAGCACUGGUGCUGAUGAUGAUUUUUUUGCUACAGAAAUUGCAGGUCUGAGAAUGGUGUAUUGGUAGAACUAUUGGUGUUGUAUGUGAGAUUGCAAUGGUUUGCUGAGAGAAUGGAACUGAAGGCACUGGUGUUGUGGUAGUUGUUGAUUGCAGUGGUGAUUUGACAUGAUGAAGUUGUUGCUGGUGAAAUUAAGAAGCAGAUGAAGAACUGGAGGUUUUGGUUGCUGUUGUUAUUUGUAGAUGAAUGUUUAGGACAGGGUAUGAGUUGUUGCAGAUGGUUUGAACUGAAAUGGUUAUGAAGUGGUGGUUCAAGAGGGUGCAACAACUCAGAUGGAAAUGGAUGUUCUGCAGUAAAUGGUAUGGUAUUGCAGGAAAUGGGUUAUGCAACGGUUGUGGUACAUGUGCAAUAGUUGUGACUCAAGAGUUUGCAGGAAUGGUUAUUGGAUUUGCAGGCAAAUGAAGGACUUGAGACUGGUGGUGUGCAAGGGUUGCAGUUGACAGUGAGAGGGUUGGAGAGCUUGGUGUUGAACUGUGGUUGCAGAUGCAGAUAUGAUUAAUGUUGAUGUUUGAAUGGCUUACUCCGUAGAUGUAUGCUUAGGAAUGAAUUGCAUUAUAGGGAAUGAUAAAUGAAAGUUGGUGUGUGUUGAAAUUUAGUGCAGGCAAGGCUGAAUGGAACAAGUGGUUAACAAAAAUGGAUUGAAGCAGCAUGAGUAACUGGUGAUUGCAGGAAGUGAUUGUAGGGGAAAUGCUGAGUUAAUGCUUAGCUUGAGGCUUUGUGUAACAGAUGGCUGAAGUAAUGGAGAAGAUAUCACCAGAAAUUCAGCCCAGUUCAGGAUUGUGGCACCACAUUCACUCAAGGGUUCACCGCUUCUUCUCCUGGGUUAUAGCCACCACCGCCGCCGCCACCGCUAUCACCACUUCAUCACCAUCACCUCAACAACCGAGGGGGGGUAUUUAGGACAAAACUCGGACUGUUAUUUCAAAAACAGUUAAGUCGGAUGGAGAAAGACCAAUUUGUAAUCACCAAUUUAAAGUGUGAUCUUUUUUUAAACCAAAUUAAGAAAGGGUGACCAUUUUGUAAAACACCCAAAGAGAAAAUAAAAGAUUAUGAUGCGUUUUUCCCCACAGUUAUGUUAUCUUACAUAUUAAUAUUCAUUUAUGGUGUUGUAAUACUAAUAAUUGUUGUGAUUAUUUUUGGAUCUAGUAAAAUUUAAAUAUCUUUCGUAUGACUGAA